rnacentral:rRNA from 1 species
AGGGAAUUUUGCGCAAUGGGCGAAAGCCUGACGCAGCGACGCCGCGUGAGGGAAGACGGCCUUCGGGUUGUAAACCUCUGUCCCUGGGGAAGAUGGUGACGGUACCCGUGGAGGAAGCCCCGGCUAACUACGUGCCAGCAGCCGCGGUAAUACGUAGGGGGCGAGCGUUGUCCGGAAUUAUUGGGCGUAAAGGGUGCGUAGGCGGCAUGCAAAGUCACCUGUGAAAAACCUCGGCUUAACCGGGGGCUUGCAGGUGAAACUAGUAUGCUUGAGUGCAGGAGAGGAGAACGGAAUUCCUGGUGUAGCGGUGAAAUGCGUAGAUAUCAGGAGGAACACCAGUGGCGAAGGCGGGUCUCUGGACUGUAACUGACGCUGAGGCACGAAAGCUGGGGGAGCAAAC